rnacentral:rRNA from 1 species
CGAACGGGCGAUUGACGCUGAGGCACGAAAGCGUGGGGAUCAAACAGGAUUAGAUACCCUGGUAGUCCACGCAGUAAACGAUGAUAACUAACCGUUGGUUUUACGGAAUCAGUGGCCAAGCGAAAGCGAUAAGUUAUCCACCUGGGGAGUACGACCGCAAGGUUGAAACUCAAAGGAAUUGACGGGGGCCCGCACAAGCGGAGGAACAUGUGGUUUAAUUCGAUGAUACGCGAGGAACCUUACCCGGGCUCGAACGGCAGAGGAACAAUCCAGAGAUGGUGCGGCCCUACGGGGCUUCUGUCGAGGUGCUGCAUGGUUGUCGUCAGCUCGUGCCGUGAGGUGUCGGCUCAAGUGCCAUAACGAGCGCAACCCUUGCCGGUAGUUACCAGCAUGUAAUGAUGGGGACUCUACCGGGACUGCCACCGCAAGGUGUGAGGAAGGGGGGGAUGACGUCAAAUCAGCACGGCCCUUACGUCCGGGGCGACACACGUGUUACAAUGGCGGUGACAGAGGGGAGCUACCUGGUGACAGGAUGGGAAUCUCGAAAAGCCGCCUCAGUUCGGAUCGGAGUCUGCAACCCGGCUCCGUGAAGCCGGAUUCG